rnacentral:rRNA from 1 species
CCCUUAGAUGUUCUGGGCCGCACGCGCGCUACACUGACGAAUGCAACGAGCUUAUAACCUUGGCCGAAAGGUCUGGGUAAUCUCCAAAUUUCGUCGUGAUGGGGAUAGAUUAUUGCAAUUAUUAAUCUUCAACGAGGAAUGCCUAGUAAGCGCAAGUCAUCAGCUUGCGUUGAUUACGUCCCUGCCCUUUGUACACACCGCCCGUCGCACCUACCGAUUGAAUGGUCCGGUGAGAUCCUCGGACUGCGAUGACACUCUGGCAACAGAGUUAAUUGCGGAAAGUUGAUCAAACCUUACCAUUUAGAGGAAGGUGAAGUCGUAACA